rnacentral:rRNA from 1 species
GUGGGGAAUAUUGGUCAAUGGACGGUAGUCUGAACCAGCCAAGUCGCGUGCGGGAAGAAGGCCCUCCGGGUCGUAAACCGCUUUAGCCGGGGAGUAACGUGCGGGACGUGUCCCGCAGUGAGAGUACCCGGAGAAUAAGCAUCGGCUAACUCCGUGCCAGCAGCCGCGGUAAUACGGAGGAUGCGAGCGUUAUCCGGAUUUAUUGGGUUUAAAGGGUGCGCAGGCGGCAGGUCAAGUCAGCGGUAAAAUCUCGGCGCUCAACGCCGUUCGGCCGUUGAAACUGUCCGGCUCGAGUGCGUGGGAGGAUGGCGGAAUGCGCGGUGUAGCGGUGAAAUGCAUAGAUAUCGCGCAGAACCCCGAUUGCGAAGGCAGCUGUCCACCACGCCACUGACGCUCAUGCACGAAAGCGUGGGUAUCGAACAGG